rnacentral:rRNA from 1 species
ACGGGAGGCAGCAGUGGGGAAUAUUGCACAAUGGGGGAAACCCUGAUGCAGCGACGCCGCGUGAGUGAAGAAGUAUUUCGGUAUGUAGAGCUCUAUCAGCAGGGAAGAAAAUGACGGUACCUGACUAAGAAGCACCGGCUAAAUACGUGCCAGCAGCCGCGGUAAUACGUAUGGUGCAAGCGUUAUCCGGAUUUACUGGGUGUAAAGGGAGCGUAGACGGCGAGGCAAGUCUGAAGUGAAAUGCGGGGGCUCAACCCCUGAACUGCUUUGGAAACUGUUUUGCUAGAGUGCAGGAGAGGUAAGUGGAAUUCCUAGUGUAGCGGUGAAAUGCGUAGAUAUUAGGAGGAACACCGGCGGCGAAGGCGGCUUACUGGACUGUAACUGACGUUGAGGCUCGAAAGCGUGGGGAGCAAACAGGAUUAGAUACCCUGGUA